rnacentral:rRNA from 1 species
UGGGGAAUCUUGGACAAUGGGGGCAACCCUGAUCCAGCCAUGCCGCGUGAGUGAUGAAGGCCUUAGGGUCGUAAAGCUCUUUCGCCUGUGAAGAUAAUGACGGUAGCAGGUAAAGAAACCCCGGCUAACUCCGUGCCAGCAGCCGCGGUAAUACGGAGGGGACAAGCGUUAUUCGGAUUUAUUGGGCGUAAAGGGCGCGUAGGCGGCUUGAUAAGUCAAAGGUGAAAUCCCUCGGCUCAACCGGGGAACUGCCUUUGAAACUGUCUGGCUAGAGUUCGGGAGAGGGUAGGGGAAUUCCAAGUGUAGAGGUGAAAUUCGUAGAUAUUUGGAGGAACACCAGUGGCGAAGGCGGCUCACUGGCUCGAUACUGACGCUGAGGUGCGAAAGUGUGGGGAGCAAACAGGAUUAGAUACCCUGGUAGUCCACACCGUAAACGAUGAAUGCCAGUCGUCGGGUAGCAUGCUAUUCGGUGACACACCUAACGGAUUAAGCAUUCCGCCUGGGGAGUACGGUCGCAGAUU